CUAAAACAGACAAUGCAUGCAAAAUACACAAGGCAGACUAAGGGCUCAGCAAGUGCAACUCACUGUUCCUGCUGUUACUGCGAUUGCUGUGUAAGCUGGAUAUGGGGUCUGAUCUGGAUCCCACAGGGGGCAGAAACAUGGCCUUGCGCUGUCUGAGAGAAGGGCCCUAAAGGUCCAGCCUGUCCUCACCACCUGCUCUCUUUGGCUGUGGGUAAUGGCUAGGAGAGCAACCUCCUGGACACAGGGAGCCUUGGCCUGAAUCUAGAAGAGUUUUCCAUGGAGAACAACAGGAAACCUUGAACUCCUGCCAGAUGUUAAGGCAGACUCAUAGGUGGAUUUUGGGGAAGGACAUCAGCUAUUCUGGGGCUGGGAACUGGACAACCCAUGGAGCCCAGCCUCCCAUCCAAUGAAGACGACCCUGCAAGGUGCCUGGUCAUUGGACUUUCUACUGCAGGAGUGUGUGGGAUGCACCUGAGCCAGAGUUCCCUGCAGCCUAGGAGGCCAAGGAAUCCCAGGGCAGUCAAUGUCCCUGGUGCUGAAGGAGAUGGAUCCCCUUCCUUCCCCUGCACCCUCCUCUCACCCUCGCAGCAUCCUCCAGACACCUGGACCUGCUGUCAGGAUCCAAAAGCAGUGCUUUGGAAGCCUUAGGGAGGUAACCACUGAUUCCCAUGCUUCUACUCACAUUGGCUGCUCAGCAAAAGUAGGAAAGUCCCUACUGCAAAAAUGUCAAUGUCCCCUCUGGUGCCUGGCAACUGCCAGGGCCAGCCCUACUUCUUGUAUCUUCCAUGUUUGAAAUUUUAACAUUUGAACUCACACCCGAGGUUGACCAGAAGACCCAGAUAGCUCUGAGCUUUGCACCUGUGACCCACUGGUAUGGCAUUGCUUUCAUGGGAGUAACUGGGAUUUGGCAGCCUGAUGGGGCUGAUGCACUGAUUUGGGGGUCACUCCACAUGAACCCACACUGAAUUCAGGGCUGUGGCAUACAGACAGAUCAACAGCAACCUUGGGUGUGGGUUUCUAUGAACCUGUGUGUCUGACUUUGUAUAUUCAUUUUCUGGUGUCAUCUGUAGUCUGCAGUAACUAAUAAGGGCAAGGAUGGUUUUUAUUGAAGAAGACACACCCUUUCUAUAAUAGAAAAUGUCCACCCCCUGACCUGGUGCAGUGGUACACACCUGUAAUCCCAGCAUUUUGGGAACCUAAGGCUGGCAAGUUGCUUGACCUCAGUAGUUAGAGACUAGCCUGGCCAACAUGGCA
rnacentral:lncRNA from 1 species